rnacentral:rRNA from 1 species
AAUGAACGUUGGCGGCGUGGAUUAGGCAUGCAAGUCGAGCGAGAAGUUUUAGAAAGAUACUUCGGUUGAUUUCUAAAAUGGACAGCGGCGAAAGGGAGAGUAACGAGUAGAUACGUACCCAGGGGUCCGGGAUAGCCAUGCGAAAGCGUGAGUAAUACCGGAUAAUGUCUCCGGACCAAAGAUUUAUUGCCCUUGGAGCGGUCUGCUUACUAUUAGGUUGUUGGUGGGGUAAUGGCCUACCAAGCCGAAGAUGGUUAGCGGGUGUGAGAGCAUGGCCCGUCUCACUGGGACUGAGACACUGCCCAGACACCUACGGUGGCUGCAGUCGAGAAUCUUCCGCAAUGGGCGAAAGCCUGACGGAGCGACGCCGCGUGAUGGAUGAAGGCCCUCGGGUUGUAACAUCUGUCGUAGGGGGGAAAUUUUUUGACCGAUCCUAGGAGGAAGCACAGGCUAAGUUCGUGCCAGCCGCCGCGGUAAU